CAUCGCAUCCUGGGGCUGUAGUCGGUCCCAAGGGUUGGGCUGUUCGCCCAUUAAAGCGGUACGCGAGCUGGGUUCAGAACGUCGUGAGACCGUUCGGUCCCUAUCCGUCGUGGGCGUAGGAAAUUUGAGAGGAGCUGUCCUUAGUACGAGAGGACCGGGAUGGACAUACCUCUGGUGUACCAGUUGUCGUGCCAACGGCAUAGCUGGGUAGCUAUGUG
rnacentral:rRNA from 1 species